AGCGGGUUUGUGUAAUGGUAGCACGACAGACUCUGACUCUGUUUGUGAGGGUUCAAAUCCUUCACCCGCUGCCA
rnacentral:tRNA from 1 species